AGAGUUUGAUCCUGGCUCAGGACGAACGCUGGCGGCGCGCCUAACACAUGCAAGUCGAACGGGACUAUUUUGGGAGAAGUUUUCGGAUGGAUCUCGGGAUAGUUUAGUGGCGGACGGGUGAGUAACACGUGAGCAACCUACCUUCGAGAGGGGAAUAACGGCUGGAAACGGUCGCUAAUACCGCAUAACAUACUGGAGGGACAUCCCUUUGGUAUCAAAGAUUUUAUCGCUCGGAGAUGGGCUCGCGUCCGAUUAGGUAGUUGGUGAGGUAACGGCUCACCAAGCCGACGAUCGGUAGCCGGACUGAGAGGUCGAACGGCCACAUUGGGACUGAGACACGGCCCAGACUCCUACGGGAGGCAGCAGUGGGGGAUAUUGCACAAUGGGGGAAACCCUGAUGCAGCGACGCCGCGUGUGGGAAGACGAUCCUCUGGAUUGUAAACCACUGUCCCCAGGGACGAAGAUGACGGUACCUGGGGAGGAAGCUCCGGCUAACUACGUGCCAGCAGCCGCGGUAAUACGUAGGGAGCGAGCGUUGUCCGGAAUUACUGGGUGUAAAGGGAGCGUAGGCGGGACUGCAAGUUGGGUGUCAAAUCUACCGGCUCAACCGGUAGCCGCACUCAAAACUGCAGUUCUUGAGUGAAGUAGAGGCAGGCGGAAUUCCUAGUGUAGCGGUGAAAUGCGUAGAUAUUAGGAGGAACACCAGUGGCGAAGGCGGCCUGCUGGGCUUUUACUGACGCUGAGGCUCGAAAGUGUGGGGAGCAAACAGGAUUAGAUACCCUAGUAGUCCACACCGUAAACGAUGAUCACUAGGGUGUGGGGGGUCUGACCCCUUCCGUGCCGGAGUUAACACAAUAAGUGAUCCACCUGGGGAGUACGGCCGCAAGGUUGAAACUCAAAGGAAUUGACGGGGGCCCGCACAAGCAGUGGAGUAUGUGGUUUAAUUCGAAGCAACGCGAAGAACCUUACCAGGUCUUGACAUCGUGCGCAUAGCCUAGAGAUAGGU
rnacentral:rRNA from 1 species